rnacentral:rRNA from 1 species
AUUGAACGCUGGCGGCAGGCCUAACACAUGCAAGUCGAACGAGCGGCGGACGGGUGAGUAAUGUCUGGGAAACUGCCUGAUGGAGGGGGAUAACUACUGGAAACGGUAGCUAAUACCGCAUACCAUCGGAUGUGCCCAGAUGGGAUUAGCUAGUAGGUGGGGUAAAGGCUCACCUAGGCGACGAUCCCUAGCUGGUCUGAGAGGAUGACCAGGCACACUGGGACUGAGACACGGCCCAGACGCCUACGGGAGGCAGCAGUGGGGAAUAUUUGGCAAUGGGCGCAAGGCGGAUGCAGCCAUGCCGCGUGUAUGAAGAAGGCCUUCGGGUCGUAAAGUACUUUCAGCGGGGAGGCGUUACCCGCAGAAGAAGCACCGGCUAACUACGUGCCAGCAGCCGCGGUAAUAC